rnacentral:lncRNA from 1 species
CAGCCGGCUCCAGCCCCUCCCUCUCACUCCUCCCCUCCCCCUCAGCCCCCCUCCCUCUCCGCCCCUCCCCCCUGCCCGCUCGCCUCCUCGGGGCCCACCGGCCGCCUGGGUCCGGGAAGCGGUCGGGGGCGCCGGGCCCAUUCCUUCCUGAGCCCGGCGUCUUCGCGCGGUUAUCAAAGUUAUUUUUACACGUCGAGAAUUUUUCAAGUGAGCACUUGUGCGGUGGCACCUUCUCCUUGUCGCGCUUGUGCCUUGAAGAAAUUUACCGGCUUAUUUAUAGCCCGUGUUUAUUUUUACUCAACUCCUGAACUUGAGCUUCCGAGAAUAGCUACUACAUUCAACUAAGUACUUACUAAAUCUUCCUCCUUAUGGGCAGUUGGUCAAGAUGUAAGACAUUGACCCAUCCUCAACAAGCGACUGAAUGCUGCUUCUGUUGGAGUCAGCUGCUUUCACCGUGUGCCCGGGCUCCUCGCAGAGAGGGGACGUACAGAGCUUCGAGGGCGAGCAUCGAGGCACCACGGAGAUGUGCUGCCAUAAAAGUGUCUUCUCGCAUUUUCAACGUAAACAAAUGUUAUUGCCACCAGGAAAUAGACCGCAUGAAAAGAAACGUCGGGAACCUGGAAGAGCUGCCCAGGCAGUAAUUCUUUUCGGCUUCCAAGUUCAUUACCCUCAUUAACUCAAGUCAAUGAGACAGAACAAAAGGCUUCUCAAAAGCCCCAUAAACACGAGGCAUACAUAUUUUCAAUCUGGGGCUAUAAUCUAACAAAGCUGAUUUUUCUUCUUGCUCACUGGGCACUUCUAGUUUUUCUCUUAUGGUAAGUGUGCCUUGUAUUAUAGUCCUCGUAUCCUGUGUUACAAAGUACCAUUUAUCUUGAACUCACUGAUGGUUUUUUUU